rnacentral:rRNA from 1 species
UACGUAGGGGGCAAGCGUUGUCCGGAAUCAUUGGGCGUAAAGCGCGUGUAGGCGGCUUGGUAAGUCCGCUCUGAAAGCCCGGGGCUCAACCCCGGGAGGCGGGCGGAUACUGUCGAGCUAGAGUCCGGAAGAGGCGAGUGGAAUUCCUGGUGUAGCGGUGAAAUGCGCAGAUAUCAGGAGGAACACCGAUAGCGAAGGCAGCUCGCUGGGACGGUACUGACGCUGAGACGCGAAAGCGUGGGGAGCAAUCAGG